ACUCCUACGGGAGGCAGCAGUAGGGAAUCUUCCACAAUGGACGAAAGUCUGAUGGAGCAAUUCCGCGUGAUCGAUGAAGCAUCUAGGUGUGUAAAGAUCUUUUCUGAGGGAAGAAUUAUGACGGUACCUUAGGAAUAAGCACCGGCUAACUCCGUGCCAGCAGCCGCGGUAAUACGGAGGGUGCAAGCGUUAUCCGGAUUUAUUGGGCGUAAAGCGUCCGCAGGCGGUCUAACAAGUAUGAUAUGAAAGACGGAAGCUCAACUUUCGCAACGUAUUGUAAACUGUUAGACUAGAGGACUGGAGAGGUGUGUAGAAUUCUGCAUGUAGGGGUAAAAUCCGUAGAUAUGCAGAGGAAUACCAAAAGCGAAGGCAGCACACUGGACAGUUCCUGACGCUCAGGGACGAAAGCGUAGGUAGCGAACGGGAUUAGAUACCCUGGUAGGAUAGCGU
rnacentral:rRNA from 1 species